UUAAUUUGAUACAAAACGAAAAACCUUAUCAGGGCUUGACAUGCCACGAGUCCUCUUGAAAAAGAGGGGUGCCUUCGGGAACGUGGACACAGGUGGUGCAUGGCUGUAGAAAUAGUUGAACGACAUCAAGUUGCAAUGUAAACUUCCAAUUUUUUGUCAU
rfam:Lupinus angustifolius cultivar Tanjil chromosome LG04, whole genome shotgun sequence.